rnacentral:rRNA from 1 species
GACGAACGCUGGCGGCGUGCUUAACACAUGCAAGUCGAACGGAAAGGCCCUGCUUUUGUGGGGUGCUCGAGUGGCGAACGGGUGAGUAACACGUGAGUAACCUGCCCUUGACUUUGGGAUAACUUCACGAAACUGCGGCUAAUACCGGAUAGGAUCUCCUGCUGCAUGGUGGGGGUUGGAAAGUUUCGGCGUUUGGGGCUGGACUCGCGGCUUAUCAGCUUGUUUGUGGGGUAGUGGCUUACCAAGGCUUUGACGGGUAGCCGGCCUGAGAGGGGGACCGGCCACCAUGGGACUGAGAGACGGACCAGACGCCAACGGGAGGCAGCGGUGGAGAAUAUUGCACAAUGGGCGGAAGCCUGAUGCAGAAACGCCGGGUGCGGGAUGAUGGCCUUCGGGUUGUAAACCGCUUUCGCCUGUGACGAAGCGUGAGUGACGGUAAUGGGUAAAGAAGCACCGGCUAACUACGUG